rnacentral:rRNA from 1 species
CACUCCUGCGGGAGGCAGCAGUGGGGAAUUUUGGACAAUGGGCGAAAGCCUGAUCCAGCAAUGCCGCGUGAGUGAAGAAGGCCUUCGGGUUGUAAAGCUCUUUUGUCAGGGAAGAAACGGUGAAAGCUAAUAUCUUUUGCUAAUGACGGUACCUGAAGAAUAAGCACCGGCUAACUACGUGCCAGCAGCCGCGGUAAUACGUAGGGUGCAAGCGUUAAUCGGAAUUACUGGGCGUAAAGCGUGCGCAGGCGGUUUUGUAAGUCUGAUGUGAAAUCCCCGGGCUCAACCUGGGAAUUGCAUUGGAGACUGCAAUGCUAGAAUCUGGCAGAGGGGGGUAGAAUUCCACGUGUAGCAGUGAAAUGCGUAGAUAUGUGGAGGAACACCGAUGGCGAAGGCAGCCCCCUGGGUCAAGAUUGACGCUCAUGCACGAAAGCGUGGGGAGCAAACAGGAUUAGAUACCCGAGUAGUCCC